rnacentral:rRNA from 1 species
GGGUCGGUUCGGCCGGGUUUCACACAGGUGUUGCAUGGCUGUCGUCAGCUCGUGUCGUGAGAUGUUGGGUUAAGUCCCGCAACGAGCGCAACCCUCAUCCUUAGUUACCAUCAGGUAAUGCUGGGGACUUUAAGGAAACUGCCAGUGAUAAACUGGGGGAAGGUGGGGAUGAUGUCAAGUCAUCAUGGCCCUUAUGGAGUGGGCUACACACGUGCUACAAUGGUGGCUACAAUGGGCUGCAAAGUCGCGAGGCUAAGCCAAUCCCUUAAAAGCCAUCUCAGUUCGGAUUGUACUCUGCAACUCGAGUGCAUGAAGUUGGAAUCGCUAGUAAUCGUGGAUCAGCACGCCACGGUGAAUACGUUCUCGGGUCUUGUACACACUGCCCGUCACGCCAUGG